AUUCUUAUUAUUGGUGUUGGUAGUUGUGGUUGUUGUCAGAUCGCAUUUCAAAUGAAUCUAUACGUUUUCUUUUACUUUCUCCGGCGUGUGCGUGGGCUCAGAUGCCAAGGAAGUCUUUGAACCAGCGCAUACGUAACCAUUUCAUGCAAUUUACCGUAAAUUCUGUCUCUUUUUAUACAAUUUACUGUACAAUUCCCUGUCGCCUUCGUAUCUCGUUCGUUUAGUUAUAUAUAAACUUGUGCUAACAAUAUUAUUUCAUCAGCCAAGAAGAGAUUCCGUAAGAGAAAAUAAAGUUUUGAGUCGUUUUAUUUUCUUAAAUAUGUCUGUGGCUUCAGUCGGCAUGGGUACCCUGAGAACGGCAUUUCAAAUGCUGUUUGAUGCUGUAAAAUCAGUGCAGGAGGAGACUACUAUGUUCAAGCGCCUCCUUGGAGACAUCAAAUCCACACUGGAAUCUCUACAGCCAGUCAUCCAAGAGAUUGAAAAAUAUAACUCGAAAGAGCGACUGAAAUAUUUUGCAGUACAAAUGGAGAAGGGAGCAGAUCUUGUUCAAAAGUGCAGCAAAGUUGGCGUGUGGGGAAAAUGCAAAUACGCCAAGAAGCUCCAUCAACUGGAAAAAUCUCUUCGAAGAGUGUUUGAUGCGCUCAAACUGCAGGGCGUAAGGGAUGCGAGGGAGGCGUUGAUUUCUCUCAGGAAUAUCGAGACGGCGUUCUCUCGAAUAGAAAAGAAUUUGGUGAUGAAAAGAAAUCAACCUGAAACGGUUAAAUGUUCGCCUGCGGUGCCUGAACCCCCAUCCGUUACAGUCGGGUUGGAUUUGCCGUUGAAGGAGUUGAAGAUGAAGCUCCUUAAGGAUGAAAAGGUGUCGAUGCUUGUGCUGACUGCUGCUGGGGGAUGUGGGAAAACAACCUUGGCUAAAAAAUUUUGUCAAGAUCAAGAAGUCAAAGAUACAUUCAAGAACAACAUCUUCUUUGUCAAUGUCUCGAAAAGGCCCAACUUGGACCUUAUUGUACAUGAACUAUAUCAACUGAAGGGGUCCGAGCUGCCUGCUUUCCAAAACGAAUUCAUGGCAGUUAAUUUGUUGCAACAAUUUUUGAAGAAAGCAACAGACAAUCCUCUGUUGUUUGUCCUGGAUGACGUUUGGUCAGGAUCAGAGUCCCUUCUUGAUAAGUUUGAUCAAUUCAAGUUUUCAAAUUACAAGAUUUUGGUCACAUCAAGAUUUGCAUUUCCGAGAUUUGGUUCUCCGUACCAUUUGGCAUUAUUGAAUGAUGAGGAUGCAAUGGCUCUUUUUCACCAUUCAGCAUCCUUGAAGGAUGAGAGCUCUUAUACUGCCGAAGAUCUUUCGAGAAAGAUUAUGAAGCGCUGUAAGGGAUGGCCACUUGCCAUUGCAUUGGUCGGGAGGUCACUUCGUGGCCAGCCUAAAGAAAUCUGGCAGAAAAGAAUACUGGAAUGGAGCAAAGGUUCUUCCAUUCUUGAUACUGAAAAGGAUUUGCUUGCUUGCCUCCAGAGCAGCUUAGAUGCCUUGGAUAAAGAAAAGACUAUGAUCAAGGAGUGUUUCCUCGACCUAGGUUCAUUUCCCGAGGACCAAAGAAUCUCUGCUGCCACCCUCAUUGACAUGUGGGCGGAGUUAUAUGGUCUAGAUGAAGAAAUUCUGACCAUUGCCAACCUUCACGAGCUCACCACCCGAAGUUUGGCGAAUCUUGUUGUCACAAGGCAUGAGAAGGAGGCGGAUGGCUAUUACACCGAACACUUCGUCACCCAGCAUGACAUGCUUAGGGAGUUGGCGAUCCAUCAGGUGAUUCAAGACCCAAUAGAACAGAGGAAAAGGCUAGUUAUAAACAUAUGUGGGGACAACCUUCCUAAGUGGUUGACAGAACAAAAGUAUCAAGCGUCCAAGGCUCGACUAUUAUCUAUCUCAACAGAUGGAGCCUUCUCAGCAAAAUGGCCAAACUUGCAAGUACCCGAAGCAGAGGUUCUAGUUCUGAAUUUUCAAACAAAGAACUAUGCCUUACCUCAGUUCGUGGAGAAAAUGGAUAAACUAAAGGUUCUAAUAACAACAAAUUACGGUUUGUCACCUGCUGGACUAGAUAAUUUUGAACUACUUGCUUCGUUAUCAAAUCUUAAGAGAAUAAGAUUAGAACGUAUUUCAAUUCCCUCCAUAAGCAAGGUCCUCAAACCUGUGAAAAGUCUGCAAAAGAUAUCAUUUUUCAUGUGUGAUAUCGGUCAAGGUUUCAACGACUGUUCCAUUUCAAUCUCAUCAGCAUUCCCAAAUCUAGAAGAAAUGAACAUCGACUAUUGCAGUGAUUUAAUUGAAUUGCCUGCCAGACUUUGUGAUCUUAGUAAACUAAAGAAGCUCAGUAUCACUAAUUGUCAUAAGCUAUCUGCCUUGCCCGAAGGGAUUGGAAAGUUGGAAAAUUUAGAAAUGCUGAGGCUAAGAUCCUGCACAGAACUGUCGAAGCUCCCAACCUCAAUGAAGAACCUUGGAAAGUUAAAAUUUCUUGAUAUAUCUGAUUGCUUUGGCAUAAAGGUGUUGCCCAAAGACAUUGGUGAAAUGAGUAGUUUAAGAAAGAUCAAUAUGAGACAAUGCUCAAGGUUGCAAGAGCUGCCUCCAUCAGUCAUGGAUCUUGAGCAGUUAGAGGAAGUGGUCUGUGAUGAACAGACAAAAUAUUUAUGGGAAUCUUUCUUGUCGUGUCUCAACAACGUAAGGAUAAUUGUGGCCAAAGAGAAUAUCAACCUAAAUUGGCUCCAAAAGACUCAGUUCUGACACAUGUUUCCUCAAUGUACGUUGCUCUUAAACCUCUGUGUGGUUUGCGUUUUUUAUGGGGCUUUUUAAACUAUGAUGUUUAGAGACCUUGGCUACUGUCCAGAAAAAUGGUUUGGUAGGAAACAAAGAGAAUGUUGUGAUUCAAAAUCAAGAAGGAUUUCAUGAUUGGGGUCAGUUCCUGAACCUCCAAUGUUACAGUUGGAUUGGAUGAGCCUUUGAGGGAGUUGAAGAAGACGGGAAAACCACAUUGGCAAUGAAAUUAUGUCAAGAUGAGGAAGUCAAAGAUGGUAAGCCUGCAGAUACUAAACCUUUGUAAGGGAGUUCGGCUUGCCAUUACAGUGACUGGGAAAUCACUUCGUGGACAAGCUGCAGAAUUCUAGUGUUCAAGACUAGCAGACUGUUGUAAAGGUUUUGUUGUUGGUUCUAAGACUGAGUUGCUUCUUUGACUUCAAAGUAGCAUAGAUGCCUUGGAUGGCAAAGAGGCUAUCAUGAGGGAAUGUUUCAGACCUUGUUUCAUUUCCUGAAGAUCAAAGAAUCUCUGCUGCCGCUUUCAUUGAUACGUGGGCAGAGUUAUAUAAGCUAGGAAGGAGAACAUAGAGAUUCUGGAUGACUACUACAUCAAAUACUUUGUUAGCCAGCUUGAUAUGCUUGGAAAGCUGGCUAUCCACAGAGUGAACCUAGACUUGAUAGAAGAUAGAAAAAGACUGAUUAUCGAAAGUGGACACAAUCAACCCAAGUGGUUGAUGGAGCAGAAGUCUCAACCCAUCAAUGCACGCCUAUUAUCUAUCUCCUCUGAUGGAAUGUUCUCAACACAAUGGCAGAGUGUUCAUAGGCAGAGUGUUCAUCUACCACAAGUUGAGGUUCUAGUUUUGAAUUUUAAGACAAAGAACAAUGCCUUACCUGAAUUUGUGCAGAAAGUUGACAAACUGAAGGUUCUAAUAGUCACAAACUAUGGUUUAAAUCAGAUUAGAGCGCAUUUCAAUUCAUUCCAUAGCCAAGAACUUCAUUGCAUUGAAGAGUAAAGAAGAUAUCUUUAUUCAUGUGUAACAUGGGUCAAGCUUUCCGCAAUUGUUCCAUCAAAAUUUCAGAUGCCUGGCCAGGUAUAGAGGAAAUGAAUAUAGACUAUUGCCAUGAUUUGGUGGAACUGCCUGCCGAGCUCUAUGAUCUUGUUCAUAUGAAGAUGCACAGUAUCACCAACUGUCAUAAGCUAUCUGCCUUGCCUGAAGAGAUCGGAAAGCUGGAGAAUUUUGAAGUAUUGAGACUAAGGUCCUGUACAGACUUGGUAAGGCUUCUGGUCUCUAUUGAGAACCUCACUAAGUUGUGCCAUCUUGACAUGUAUAAUUUUUUCGGCAUUAAGAAAUUGACUGAAGGCAUUGGUCAUAUGAGCGGUUUAAGAAAGAUCAACAUGGGACAACGCUCAAGAUUGGAAGAGUUUCCUCUGUCAGUGUGGGAUCUUCACGAGCAGUCAGAGGAAGUGAUUUGUGAUGAAGAGAAGAAACAUUUGUGGGAAUCCUUCUUAGCCAGAGACAAAAUCAAGGUGGCAAAAGAAAAAACCAAUCUGAAUUGGCUCGAAAAGCCUUAGCUGUUAUACCUGUCUUUCCUCGAUAAAUGUUGGAGCAACGUUUUUUUGAUUUGUGUUGCAUUGUUUUCUUUAAUUUGUAUUUUCUUGUUGGAUUUUUCUUGUUUGAUUUCGUUUUUAGUUCUGUCUAAUUUCGAAGUUUCA